GUCAACUACUCACCACUUAAACUGCAUUAGCAUUUUUGAAGUGGGAGCUUGUGUAAACAAGCUUGGUUGAAUAGCUUAAGUCUUAACUGACUACGUUAUACAAAAAUAGAUAGUUACCUUGGGAUGCUCCACAAGUUCCAAGCUCUAAGGUUUAAUUUUAAACAUCUCUAAAGAGUAGGAGAAGUGAGUUAAAUUUAAAACUUUGUAUAACAUUAGCUAUGUGGACUUAC
rfam:Clostridium magnum DSM 2767 CLMAG_contig000003, whole genome shotgun sequence.